UCUCCGUUGGUGAACCAGCGGAGGGAUCAUUACAGAGUUUUCACAACUCCCAACCCUUGCGAACCGUACCCAUUCUGUUCUCGUUGCUUCCGGCGGGGGGUACGGGGGGGCCCGAAACGUCCUCCCCGCCCCGCCCGCCGGGGGCGGCGUACCCUACGAACUUUUAUAUCUCACCCACCAGUAACCGUCUGAGAAAACAAACAAAAUAAUCAAAACUAUCAACAACGGAUCACUUGGCCCCGGCAUCGAUCAAGAACGCAGCAGAACGGAAGAGCACAC
rnacentral:misc_RNA from 1 species